UACGGGGGAGCAAGCGUUGUUCGGAUUUACUGGGCGUAAAGGGCGCGUAGGCGGUCAGCACAAGUCAGUUGUGAAAUCUCCGGGCUUAACUCGGAAAGGUCAACUGAUACUGCGCGGCUAGAGUGCAGAAGGGGCAACUGGAAUUCUCGGUGUAGCGGUGAAAUGCGUAGAUAUCGAGAGGAACACCUGCGGCGAAGCGG
rnacentral:rRNA from 1 species